GCCUUCGUGGUGUAACGGUAGCACACUCGGCCCGUAUUCGAGAGGUCCAGGCUUCGAGUCCCCACAAGGGCA
rnacentral:tRNA from 1 species